rnacentral:rRNA from 1 species
UACGGGGGGGCAAGCGUUGUUCGGAAUUACUGGGCGUAAAGGGUUCGUAGGUGGCCAACUAAGUCAGACGUGAAAUCCCUCAGCUUAACUGGGGAACUGCGUCUGAUACUGGUGUGGCUUGAGUGCAGGAGAGGAACGCGGAAUUCCAGGUGUAGCGGUGAAAUGCGUAGAUAUCUGGAGGAACACCGGUGGCGAAGGCGGCAUUCUGGACCGACAUUGACGCUGAGGAGCGAAAGCCAGGGGAGCAAACGGG